AACGAACGCUGGCGGCAUGCCUAACACAUGCAAGUCGAACGAGACCUUCGGGUCUAUUGGCGCACGGGUGCGUAACGCGUGGGAACCUGCCCUUAGGUUCGGAAUAACUCCCCGAAAGGGGUGCUAAUACCGGAUAAUGUCUUCGGACCAAAGAUUUAUCGCCUUUGGAUGGGCCCGCGUUGGAUUAGCUAGUUGGUAGGGUAAAAGCCUACCAAGGCGACGAUCCAUAGCUGGUCUGAGAGGAUGAUCAGCCACACUGGGACUGCGACACGGCCCAGACUCCUACGGGAGGCAGCAGUGGGGAAUAUUGGACAAUGGGCGAAAGCCUGAUCCAGCAAUGCGGCGUGAGUGAUGAAGGCCUUAGGGUUGUAAAGCUCUUUUACCCGGGAUGAUAAUGACAGUACCGGGAGAAUAAGCUCCGGCUAACUCCGUG
rnacentral:rRNA from 1 species